ACACAUGCAAGUCGAACGGUAACAGGAAGAAGCUUCGCUUCUUUGCUGACGAGUGGCGGACGGGUGAGUAAUGUCUGGGAAACUGCCUGAUGGAGGGGGAUAACUACUGGAAACGGUAGCUAAUACCGCAUAACGUCGCAAGACCAAAGAGGGGGACCUUCGGGCCUCUUGCCAUCGGAUGUGCCCAGAUGGGAUUAGCUAGUAGGUGGGGCAACGGCUCACCUAGGCGACGAUCCCUAGCUGGUCUGAGAGGAUGACCAGCCACACUGGAACUGAGACACGGUCCAGACUCCUACGGGAGGCAGCAGUGGGGAAUAUUGCACAAUGGGCACAAGCCUGAUGCAGCCAUGCCGCGUGUAUGAAGAAGGCCUUCGGGUUGUAAAGUACUUUCAGCGGGGAGGAAGGGAGUAAAGUUACUACCUUUGCUCAUUGACGUUACCCGCAGAAGAAGCACCGGCUAACUCCGUGCCAGCAGCCGCGGUAAUACGGAGGGUGCAAGCGUUAAUCGGAAUUACUGGGCGUAAAGCGCACGCAGGCGGUUUGUUAAGUCAGAUGUGAAAUCCCCGGGCUCAACCUGGGAACUGCAUCUGAUACUGGCAAGCUUGAGUCUCGUAGAGGGGGGUAGAAUUCCAGGUGUAGCGGUGAAAUGCGUAGAGAUCUGGAGGAAUACCGGUGGCGAAGGCGGCCCCCUGGACGAAGACUGACGCUCAGGUGCGAAAGCGUGGGGAGCAAACAGGAUUAGAUACCCUGGUAGUCCACGCCGUAAACGAUGUCGACUUGGAGGUUGUGCCCUUGAGGCGUGGCUUCCGGAGCUAACGCGUUAAGUCGACCGCCUGGGGAGUACGGCCGCAAGGUUAAAACUAAAUGAAUUGACGGGGGCCCGCACAAGCGGUGGAGCAUGUGGUUUAAUUCGAUGCAACGCGAAGAACCUUACCUGGUCUUGACAUCCAUGGAAGUUUUCAGAGAUGAGAAUGUGCCUUCGGGAUCCGUGAGACAGGUGCUGCAUGGCUGUCGUCAGCUCGUGUUGUGAAAUGUUGGGUUAAGUUCCGCAACGAGCGCAUCCCUUAUCCUUUGUUGCCAGCGGUCCGGCCGGGAAUUCAAAGGAGACUGCCAGUGAUAAACUGGAGGAAGGUGGGGAUGACGUCAAGUCAUCAUGGCCUUUACGACCAGGGCUACACACGUGCUACAAUGGCGCAUACAAAGAGAAGUGACCUCGCGAGAGCAAGCGGACCUCAUAAAGUGCGUCGUAGUCCGGAUUGGAGUCUGCAACUCGACUCCAUGAAGUCGGAAUCGCUAGUAAUCGUGGAUCAGAAUGCCACGGUGAAUACGUUCCCGGGCCUUGUACACACCGCCCGUCACACCAUGGGAGUGGGUUGCAAAAGAAGUAGGUAGCUUAACCUUCGGGAGGGCGCUUACCACUUUGUGAUUCAUGAC
rnacentral:rRNA from 1 species